CAUCUGGCUAGGCCACGCCCCCAUCUGGCUUGCCAGCUGGGAGCCCUCUGUUGGAGUUUAUAUGCUGCAGCAAUGGUUGACUGAAAACGACACAACUUUCCUGCCCCGAGUCUGUCCCCACACAGGGACCAAGGUUCAGCUUAGCUACCUCUGCAGACUGGACCCAGCCAGCUUCCUGCAGUCUGGGACCCAAAUUGGAUGGAGCUUUUCCGAGAUGGUGGUGGUGAUGGUCGCCAUGGGAAGGGUCAAAGCGCCCCAAGAGCAGAAAAGUCCCUCUCCCACAUGGGAAGAACAACUAUUAUUUAUGAGCCUGUCUGAAGUGGAGCUCCACAUGAGGAAGAACAGGGACCUUUGCUGAGCCGCUGCAGUACAUCAGGACCCACUGCUUGUGGUGAAGGUGCUUUACCACGGGACAGAGGCAGGUCAGCCCUGCGGGAGAAGGUUGUCAGACAUGCAAGACCCUCUCAGAGAACUGGGUGGCUGUGCAGUUGGCGGUAAGGGGACACAGGGAGGCCAACAGACAGCCUGGGGUGGCGGUGUGGCUCAUACCUGUGAUCCUGGCACUUACGAGGCUGAGACAGAAGGAUAGAUAGCCUUGAGGAGGCUAACCUGGCCUUCAGAGGGAGACUGUUUCAAACAAAAUGAAAAAAGUCCAAUCCAGCAAUAGUGGAGAAGAAAGGAGAGGAGGAAGGAAUGGGGAGGGGUGGGGGCUGGGGCUGGGGAAAAGCUCCUGCUUGGGAAUCCUGCCCGUUUGCUAGGAAGCCUUUCCUGAGGGUUUUGUGCCAGGCACUGCAUAGGUAAAACUUCUCUACUCAACCCUUGCAAGGACCCCACAAGGGGCACACUCUUCCACCUACCAAUGAGAAGCCAAUGAAGAAAGAGCAAGUGUGUCGUUCACCAGGGGUGGCAGAGGGAAGCGCCAGCGCCAGGGUGGAAGCCUUCAUCUACCCUCUCACUGUCCCAUGCCACUUCACAUGGAGUUGAGUUCCAGCAGCGAUCUCCCAUCUGGGAUUCCACCUGAGGGUGACCUUCCAUAUCUGGGGAGCUGAGUGGUACCGUGCAUGAUUAGCAGGCAUCAGUGAGGUCCUGGGUCCGGUCUCCAGCACCCUUUACCCUCCAAAAGGAAGGAGAGACUGAAGGCUGGCCUCGUGGCAUGUGCCUGUAAUUGUAGCACUCUUGGGCAGGAGGAUCACGUUUGAGGCCAGCAUGGGAUCAAAAACACGGAACAACAGCAAAUCCCCAAACAACCUUCGAAGGGGACUGGUUCCAUGGAUUUAUAGACAAUGGAAUAUCUGCCGGUUAUCAAGAGAGAUGAGAGCCCUUUGUGUCUGAAGACAGACUAAUCCCUCAAACAUAUUGUUUAGUAAAAAUAAGUGCAAGCACAUAGCAAUAUGUAUAAUUUCCUGCCAUCUGUGUGAAGGGGGAAAGAAGGAGCAUUUCCAUACAGUUACUAUCUUGCAUGAUGUAUCUUCUGCUUCUCAAAAGGGCCACUAGGCUUUGGGACACCAACUUGCAGUACUUGGGAGACAGCAGCAGGGUAAGUUCAAGGCCAGCCUGGGUCACUGAGUAAGUUCAAGGCCAACCUGGAACCUCAGAAAGACUGUCUCAAAAUUAAAAAAACAAAACAAAGAAGGGCUAGAGCACACCACCAUUAUUUGCCUCAAGUGUCAAGGUACAUUGUUUAACCCUUUGAGUCCCUUUGCCGUCUGUGAUUGGGGGUUCCCCUUCCUUGUGGGUCUUUUGCUAAAAAAGAGGUUGACACAGGGUUUCGUAGAUUACUGACACAGGGUUGUGUAGAUUACGGAAAGGAGCUGGCCAUGAGAAAGGCUGCUGUACAACGUCCUGGGUCUCAGGAGCAUUGUGAGCACACCCCUGCCGCUAAGAUCCACUGUUGUUGGAGUUGCAUGGGUGAGGAGAUGUGGAACUCACCAGGACCAGAGGCACUGCUGUUGGAGGAAGGCCACAUCAGAGCAAACACGGGCUGAGCAGUGGCGGGGAUACGUGGAGACCCGAGUCAGAAGAACAUGGUCGAAACAGGGACCCCACAUCUAUUACUUUAUGCCGGUCCCACGUAUGCUGGGCGAGCGCUCUGCCACCGAGGUACCGCCUCAGCCCACUGAACGUUUUCCUCUGGAGGAGUUAUGGAUGUGUCUAGAUUAGGUUAAAGGUGAUUCCCUAUUGCUGAAGACACCAUGGACUCGGGAUGCAGGACUAAGAAGACCCGAACUGGAUCUCAUCUGAGGACUAACUUUCACAGUCUUGGAAGGUGCUAUGCAAGCUGCCAAGGACAGAAGGAAACCAAUAGCCCUCCUCAGUCAUGAAGCUUAUGAACCAUAUUGACCAGCAUGGCAAGAUGUCCUUAAGGAUGGCAGUCAUACCUUGGCGAUAACCAACAGAUACCUAAUUGGACUUAAGGCCACUCAACAAGAUGGAAAACUGGCCAACGGCCUGGGGCCAGUGAGGUCAUGGAUCUUAGGGGAGAACCUACUACCACCACUUUACUAAACCAGAAUAAUUCCUAACAGCAUUCUAAAUACCUAUCCUUAUACUCACGGAUAAAUGUAGCUCCCAAUGCUCACACAAGAAACUUCUCUUCGCAAUAGACAGUAAGUUAUAGAGAAUCAUAACUGGUCAAAAUGCAGAGAGCCGUUGAUCAUGGGGUGCCCAGCUCCGGUGGAUACAUUUAUAGCACAGCUCCUACAUACAAGGCUUGGGAACAUCAUGGAAGAAGGGUGUAAAACUUGUAAGAGCCAGAGGCCCAGGAAAUCUGCUGCCAGACUGUGUCUCUUAGACACAAUGGGAAAGCUUGUCCCGUGAUACCUCAACAACACGGCUGCCUAAACAAGACCCAAAGAACUCUAGACAAAGAACUACAGGCAGCUAACAAUUGAACGAUUGUGAGAAAAGGAGAAAUAGUCUUCCCCAGGAUAAGCUCCCAAUUAGUUGUCCAAUACCAAGUGGUCAGCCCUGAAAUUAUACAUACAAGCAGCACUGAACAGACUCAGCACAUUGUAUUUAUACAUUUGUGCAUACAUAUACCUUUCAUAUAUAUAUGUAUGUAUGUAUGUAUGUAUGUAUGUAUGUAUGUAUGUAUGUAUGUAUAUGUAUUUGAAAAAGGCCAGGAAUUUGAGAAGAGGGGAUUGGAUAGAGUAUUAGGCAGUGUUGAUGAAUGAAGUUGAAGUAUAUGUUCUGUCACGACAAGAAUUCCUGAGAUGUGUUUUCAAGCUGCAUUUAUAGUGAUGUGUACUAGCUUGAUUCUGCUUUUGCAACAGCAGCAACUAGAGAGAAUGGAUCUGGAAGGAAACACACCAAAUCACUAAAACGCCCAGAAUCAAAUGUGAGCCAGUUCCAGAAUUCUCCUUCCUGAGCCGUCCGGAAGGAGGGAGAUGAAGAGCGAUGGAGGGCAGUGGUACCCUCAGAUGAAAAAAAGCAAGAGGCGAGCUUAAGAACGCGCUUCCUGCAGGAAUCUGGCAAGGCUUGCUCAUCAUUCUUAUCAAGGUUUUAGGUGGAAACUCUUGGCAACCCAUUGGGCACCAUUUGUAGCUAGAGUUUUUCUCUCCAGGUCCCGCCAAGCCCCGGCAGUUAUCCAUUGCCUCCUUCCCCAGGCUUUCCUUCGAAUCUGAGUGGAAGCUUCUGGGACCCCACAGCUCUUGCGUUCUGCCUGCCUGCAAAGCCAACACUGCCUGAAUGAUGCCAAGAUCGGAUGCUGGGGCAGCAGUAAUGCUUCCCUUCCCCCAUGUAUCCCUGAGUGCCUGGAGGGCUGGUCACAAUGAAGAAAUGCAUCGGGGAAACAAGUUCCUAGGUUGCUUUGUGCAAGCAAGGUGCCCCUGAGGUACCUUCUUCUUGAGAAAAAGCCUUUCACAUGUAUAAUUUUACACCCUGGAGCUUGAGAAGGGUGGUCGUGUUGUGUUUUGAAUGAGAAAUAUCUCCCAUAGGGUCAUGUAUUUGAACACUCGGCCCCCAGUUGGUGCUGGCUGGGGGGAUUAUGGAAUCUUUGGGAGGGAUAGCCUUGCCUGAAGAAGUAUGUCUUUAGGCGUUGCCUCUGAGGGCUUCUAGCCUGGCCCCACUUCCUGCUUGCUCUCUCUGCUUCCUGUGUGUGAAUGAAAACCAUAGUCAGCCAGCUUCACGCUCCAGCUGCCAGGCCAUCUCCACGGCUCUUAUGGACUCUAGCACUCUGGAACUGUAAGGC